rnacentral:rRNA from 1 species
AACAGAAGAAGCACCGGCUAACUCCGUGCCAGCAGCCGCGGUAAUACGGAGGGUGCGAGCGUUAAUCGGAAUUACUGGGCGUAAAGCGCACGCAGGCGGUUUGUUAAGCUAGAUGUGAAAGCCCCGAGCUCAACUUGGGAUGGUCAUUUAGAACUGGCAGACUAGAGUCUUGGAGAGGGGAGUGGAAUUUCUAGUGUAGCGGUGAAAUGCGUAGAUAUUAGAAGGAACAUCAGAGGCGAAGGCGACUCCCUGGCCAGAGACUGACGCUCAUGUGCGAAAGUGUGGGUAGCGAACAGGAUUAGAUACCCUGGUAGUCCACACCGUAAACGCUGUCUACUAGCUGUGUGUGUCUUUAAGACGUGCGUAGCGAAGCUAACGCGCUAAGUAGACCGCCUGGGAAGUACGGCCGCAAGGUUAAAACUCAAAUGAAUUGACGGGG